rnacentral:rRNA from 1 species
AUACCAGCACCCCGAGUGGUCGGGACGAUUAUUGGGCGUAAAGCACCCGUAGCCGGUUCCGUAAGUCCUCUGUUAAAUCCAGUCGCUCAACGGCUGGUCUGAAGGGGAUACUGCGGGACUAGGAGCCGGGAGAGGCGGACGGUACUCCGCGUGUAGGGGUAAAAUCCUUUGAUCCGCGGAAGACCACCAGUGGCGAAGGCGGUCCGCCAGAACGCGCUCGACGGUGAGGGGUGAAAGCUGGGGGAGCGAACCGGAUUAGAUACCCGGGUAGUCCCAGCCGUAAACGAUGCGAGCUAGAUGAUUCAGUGGCAGUUCGCCAUUGAAGUGUCGCAGGGAAGCCGUUAAGCUCGCCGCCUGGGGAGUACGGUCGCAAGGCUGAAUUGCGAGAAGAUCAUUCUUUUCGCACAGUUCACUUAAAG